CUGCUUUCUUGCAGCUCUCUUCAGGGCAUUCUCCAGUCAGCACUAAGGACAAAGAGGGAAAUUCAGUGUUGCUGUGCAGGCACGGUGAUAUGGGGAGCCAGGACACGCACACAUAUCGAUGUCCUCCAUAUUCUUCACAAUGUAUCUGGCCACCUCGGCUGGUUUGGGUUUCUUCUCUCGGAUCCAUCUCUGCUGCAUGAGCUUGCGCUCCCUCACACGGGCAUAGAUGGGCUUCUGCUGCUGCCAGAACUCAGCGCGCCUGUCCAGGUAGGCAAUGCCACCCUGAACCACGUCCUCCACUUUGAUCCCCUGCUUUGUGAAGCUCUUCAUCAACUCUGAAAUCAGGAGGGCAGAAUAGGAGAGCAUCAAUGUAUACAAUGGAUGAAGCUUCAGUUCACUGGGCUACUUGUGAGCAAUUUAAACUGAAAAUGAUGGAGGAAACCUUCGUCCUUGAGCAGCUUUUCCAGGUAGGCCUUGUCAGGAUAGAGCUCUCCCAGAAGCUGCCGCUCUGUUUUCUGACUCCUUGCAGGUUCCUUUUUCUUUGUGGACUUUUGAUCCUUGCUCAGUUUGAUCUGGAGUUUCUCUUCUGCUUUUUUGCUCUACAGCAAGAAAAAUAGUAAAGUAAAUGUGGUGGGAUUGCUGGGGAACACUGGAAUGAUCAGCAAGGCCUGGCUUCCACAACUGCUGACCUCUGUGUAGGUCAAGGUCCUUUAAGUAGAAGCAAGAAUCAGUGUCUCACAAAGAGCUUUUAGGCUCCUGUGUGCAAAUGAUUUUCACUGCAAACUACCCAUAAUUCCAGCUGAGGGAAAGAAAGGAGCAUUCACUGCACUGCCUUCAAAGGGAAACGUGGGGUGGCAGCUCAGAGGAACAAAGUGUUGCUUCAGUGGACACCCCGAAAUGAAGCAAUUGAGAAAGUGGCCAUUAUCAGACAAGUGAACGUCAAACAGCAGAUGCUUGAAGGCAUUUAAAGCAUUCAGCUCAGCACGUCAAGCAUGACAGGUGUUUCCACAGAGAGCUGCGAGGGCGUCUUGGUGUUUGCACUGAGCUGAGAAAGCAGCAGGAACAGAGGAAAGCAACAGAUCUGGAAAAUUGCUCUAUCAUCUGCCUUAAAAUGCCUGUCACAUAUGGAGGAGCUGCAGGCUUUCACACAGCUGGGACGUGAAGCCAAUCUGCACUGCUGGAGGUGGGCUGCAAUUCCAACAGCGAUUUCAAGGCAAGGCAGCUGCGUUAUCUGUGUGAUCGAGGCCUGUGUGGGGCGUGCAGGCCGGGCGUGUUCUGGCUCCAUGAUGGGACAGGAUCCACCUGAGCAGUUUGUGACUGUCCCAGCAGGUUUUGCAGCAGCUUUGCCAGCUGUGCACAGGUUCUUUCACGUGAUAAGCCACUCACCCACAGAGCCAGCCCCAGCUGAGUGUGUGUGUGUGCCUGCAUUGCCUGCAUGUGAGAGCACUGCUAAGAGAAAAAAUGAGGGAAAAGUUUUCCAUUUGCUUUGAACCCCAGCAGGUCCUUGGCCUGUCCUGUCUCUUGCAGGACUCAGUUCUCUGAUUUACGCCAGAAAUUAUGAAAGCAACGCUCCAUUGCAAUAGUCAACAGUUUCACUGCUCUUGUGCAAUGGAAAUUGGAGGAAAAUCAGGAUCUCAGGGAGGCCGCUCUCAGGUGGGCAGAUUUCACUCUAAGCUUUUUAACGCUGGGAUAAGGAUCUCAAAAUGGAUUUUGUCACCAUCAGGGCUGUAAGGAGGAGUGCUGCUGUGUUCUGCAUUAUUUAUGACGUUUCUAUGGUGACUUUAGAAGUGUAAGUGCUGGGGUCAUAAUUCACUCCUGUAAUUAUCAGUUAUCAGACACUGCAGGUGAACAGGCAUCCAGGCAAAAAGAAAAGAAGAAGAAAGAGAGGAUGGGACGUGGGCUUUGUGGUGCUUCUUGGUUUCAAAUAAGAAUGGCUGCAGAGCUCAUGAAUCCAGAAGCAAAGGAACCCUGCUGUUACUUGGUACUUAGGAAGCACGUUGAGUUCACAGCCAUCAGCUGUUAUUAUGAUUAUGAUUAUUGUUAUUAUUAUUAUUAUUAAUAGCAGCUGGUGACAGAGCACAUGAACAGGCUCAGCCUGCAGGCACCGUGACGGGAG